GAGACUCUGUGCGCGUGCAUAUCAAUAAGCGGAGGAAAAGAAACUAACAAGGAUUCUCCUAGUAACGGCGAGUGAAGCGGGAAGAGCUCAAAUUUGAAAUCUUAAAGGGUUUCCCUUUACGAAUUGUAGUUUAAAGAAGUGUUUUCUGUUGGAGUUUCGGUAAAAGUUCUUUGGAAUAGGACAUCAUAGAGGGUGAGAAUCCCGUAUUUGACCGUUACUUUCCAGCUGUGUGAUACACUUUCAAAGAGUCGGAUUGUUUGGGAAUGCAGUCCAAGAUGGGUGGUAAAUUUCAUCUAAAGCUAAAUAUUGGCGAGAGACCGAUAGCGAACAAGUACCGUGAGGGAAAGAUGAAAAGAACUUUGAAAAGAGAGUUAAACAGUACGUGAAAUUGUCAAAAGGGAAGCGUUUGACACCAGUGUUGUUUAGUUGAAAAUCAAUUCAAUAGUUUUUGAUUCUAAGUAGUAUUGACUUCAUCAGCUUGCUGCUUUCUUCUCAGAAAUUAUUGAAUGCACUUUUCAGUUAACAAGUCAACAUCAAUUUCUUUUGUUGUAAAAGGGUAAGAGGAAGGUGGCUUGCGCUUCGGCUCAAGUGUUUAUAGCCUUUUAUCUCUGCAAUCGGAGAGAUUGAGGUCUGCAGCGUAGAUCCUUCGGGUUAGAUACAUUGGUGCUAAGCUAUAGCCUUGUAUAGACAACUUGUUGACUAUGCUCAGUCAUGUAGCUUACUCGCUGAUGCUAUUUUACCUACGCUUAGGAUGUUGACAGCAGUAUAGACUGU
rnacentral:rRNA from 1 species